CCGUGUAAUUAUUAUUUUUGAUAUAUAUAUACAGGUUAGAGUCACGCCUUAACUACUCCAUCAUAAUGAUAGAAUUAUACAAAAAAUAAAAAAACACCGCACAACCAUGAGUCCAUGACCCUUACAAUUAAAAGAGCCAAGAAUAGUAAGUCAUUGAAUUCUUGACACGAAUCGAGGGACUCACAAAUAGAAAUUGAUGAGAAGAGUAAUGCAGAGUCCGCAUCAUCUCUCUACACUGCAUGAAUACAAGUUUAUUUAUACAAUUAAAGAGCAAGAAUAGUAAUAGUUCAUUCAUUUAAUUCUGGAUCCGAAUAAUCGAUUAUACAACCUAUAAGUGCUUCCCAAAACAAAACUGGGGCUCAUAAAUAGAAAUUGCUCAGAGAAGAGUAAUGCAGAGUCUGCAUUAUAUCUGUACAUUACAUGAAUAUAAGUGAACAGAAGCCAGUAGCUGUAGUGUCCAAUCACGAUGCGCAGCGUGGAGAACAUAUCAAAGAAACUGUGCACAGAAGAGGCAAUAGAGAUCUUAUCUAUCCUUUUUUAUAAAUGCAGGUCAAAACUGAAACAGCUACUAAAUGGAACAGAUCCAGUGGAAGGAGGGCGCUAGUAGCUCAAAGCACAUGGCUAUGAACCACGCAUCAAGGGUCCUAUCCAACAGUC
rnacentral:lncRNA from 1 species